rnacentral:lncRNA from 1 species
AAUAUAAAUGAACAAAAGAACUAUGAAAAGCCACCAGCAGCACAAGCACAACAGGUCAAUAAAACAGUAAUGGAAGAAACAAUUGCACGCUAGUUAUCCAACAACAUACUACUUAAGCACAUAUUGGAAAUAUUUUGCACAUAUUGGAAAUAUUUUACAAAGCCUUGUUGGUGAACAUCAAGGUGCAGCAAGCAAGAUAAAGGACUGCAUAACAUAGAUUCUACCCCUAUAAGCAUCAUCUACUAAAUGAUCAGGAAGAAGAAC